GACGAAACACUGAUCUAGCAGGCCGAGCUAGCUACCGGCAGGAUCGAGACAAGAACUCCGGCAAGACCAGAGGAGGAGGACUGUGCAUUUUUGUGCAUAAUGAAUGGAGUACCAACAGCAGGAUUGUUGCCCAGCACUGCUCACCUGACCUGGAAGCCCUGUCGGUUAUUAUACAGGCCAUUUUAUUUACCACGAAAACAGCACACUGCCGUCUACAUAGCCCUGUACUCCC